CGGGGGAUAACUAUUGGAAACGAUAGCUAAUACCGCAUAAGAGUUUUUAACACAUGUUAGAAAUUUAAAAGGAGCAAAUGCUUCACUAGGUAGAUGGACCUGCGUUGUAUUAGCUAGUUGGUAAGGUAGCGGCUUACCAAGGCGACGAUACAUAGCCGACCUGAGAGGGUGAUCGGCCACACUGGGACUGAGACACGGCCCAGACUCCUACGGGAGGCAGCAGUAGGGAAUCUCGGCAAUGGGGGGAACCCUGACCGAGCAACGCCGCGUGAAGUGAAGAAGGUUUUCGGAUCGUAAAGCUCUGUUGUAAGAGAAGAACGUUGAGUAGAGUGGAAAGUUACUCAAGUGACGGUAUCUUACCAGAAAGGGACCGGCUAACUACGUGCCAGCCGCCGC
rnacentral:rRNA from 1 species